UACGGCCGCAUCACGUUGAAUCACCGGUUCUCAUACAAUCACUGGAGUUAAGCAACAUCGAGCUUGGUCAUUACCUAGACGGGUGACCGCUUGGGAACAUCAGAUAUUGUAAG